AGUCUGGUGCCAGCAGCCGCGGUAAUUCCAGCUCCAAUAGCGUAUAUUAAAAUUGUUGCAGUUAAAAAGCUCGUAGUUGGAUUUCUGGUUGGGCGCAUUUGGCCCGCUUCGGUUACGAGGUUGAGUGCCGUUUUGCGCCCGCCAUCCUUCUAGAGUACGACUCUCCCUUUACUGGGUUGGGCCGGAAUCUAGAUCAUUUACUUUGAAAAAAUUAGAGUGUUUAAAGCAGGCUUACGCUAUGAAUACAUUAGCAUGGAAUAAUAAUUUAGGACUUUGGUCUUAUUUUGUUGGUUUCUAGGACUAAAGUAAUGAUUGAUAGGGAUAGUUGGGGGUGCUAGUAUUCAGCGGCCAGAGGUGAAAUUCUUGGAUUCGCUGAAGACUAACUUAUGCGAAAGCAUUCACCAAGGAUGUCUUCUUUAAUCAAGAACGAAAGUUGGGGGAUCGAAGACGAUCAGAUACCGUCGUAGUCUCAACCAUAAACUAUGCCGACUAGGGAUGAGUGAACGUUGCUUAUUCGACUUCAUUCGCACCUUAUGAGAAAUUAAAGUCUUUGGGUUCCGGGGGGAGUAUGGUCGCAAGGCUGAAACUUAAAGGAAUUGACGGAAGGGCACACCAGGAGUGGAGCCUGCGGCUUAAUUUGACCCAACACGGGAAAACUUACCAGGUCCAGACAUAAUAAGGAUUGACAGAUUGAAGAUCUUUCUUGAUUUUAUGGGUGGUGGUGCAUGGCCGUUCUUAGUUGGUGGAGUGAUUUGUCUGGUUAAUUCCGUUAACGAACGAGACCUCGACCUGCUAAAUAGUUUGGUGAAUUCUCCGGGAUUCAUUUACGACUUCUUAGAGGGACUAUCGGUGAUUUAGCCGAUGGAAGUUCGAGGCAAUAACAGGUCUGUGAUGCCCUUAGAUGUCCUGGGCCGCACGCGCGCUACACUGAUACGUUCAUCGAGCUUACAACCUUGUCUGAGAGGACUGGGUAAUCUUUUUAAACCGUAUCGUGCUGGGGAUAGAUUAUUGUAAUUUUUAAUCUUCAACGAGGAAUUCCUAGUAAACGCUGGUCAUCAACCAGCAUUGAUUACGUCCCUGCCCUUUGUACACACCGCCCGUCGCUACUACCGAUUGAAUGGCUUAGUGAGUUUCAGGGAUUGUUGUAUCUGCGUGGUUCGCCAUUCUGGUACAUCCGAGAACUGAAUCAAACUUGAUCAUUUAGAGGAAGUAAAGUCGUAACAAGGUAUCCGUAGGUGAACCUGCGGAUG
rnacentral:rRNA from 1 species